CUAUCAGCUUGUUGGUGAGGUAACGGCUCACCAAGGCGACGACGGGUAGCCGGCCUGAGAGGGUGACCGGCCACACUGGGACUGAGACACGGCCCAGACUCCUACGGGAGGCAGCAGUGGGGAAUAUUGCACAAUGGGCGCAAGCCUGAUGCAGCAACGCCGCGUGAGGGACGACGGCCUUCGGGUUGUAAACCUCUUUUAGUAGGGAAGAAGCGAAAGUGACGGUACCUGCAGAAAAAGCACCGGCUAACUACGCGCCAGCAGCCGCGGUAAUACGUAGGGUGCAAGCGUUGUCCGGAAUUAUUGGGCGUAAAGAGCUCGUAGGCGGUCUGUCGCGUCUGCUGUGAAAACCCGAGGCUCAACCUCGGGCCUGCAGUGGGUACGGGCAGACUAGAGUGCGGUAGGGGAGAUUGGAGUUCCUGGUGCAGCGGUGGAAUGCGCAGAUAUCAGGAGGAACACCGAUAGCGAAGGCAGAUCUCUGGGCCGUAACUGACGCUGAGGAGCGAAAGCGUGGGGAGCGAACAGGAUUAGAUACCCUGGUAGUCCACGCCGUAAACGUUGGGCGCUAGAUGUGGGGACCAUUCCACGGUUUCCGUGUCGCAGCUAACGCAUUAAGCGCCCCGCCUGGGGAGUACGGCCGCAAGGUUAAA
rnacentral:rRNA from 1 species